rnacentral:lncRNA from 1 species
AAAUAAACAUUCAAAAAAAAAAAACAAAACAAAAACAAACAAAAAAACAAAGACCAUACAGUGAAUGAAAACUAAAGUAGAGUAUUUGGCCAGUAGCAUUUAUGAAGCCCUAAUAAUGUCUGAUGAAAGAUACUAAGAGAUAACUUUUAGACAUAAAACACAGAGCAAGGAGGUCAACCCUAAUAUGUGAACAAGAAAAAUACAGUGCAUUAGUCACUUCAUGCAAAAUAUUCCACCUAUAUAUUGUUUCUGAUCUUUUAUAUUCCAUACUGCAUGAUAAAUUGCUGUAUAUUAAGAAUGUUAAUCCAAAAUAAGAAGGAAAAAAAAGGAAGAACUGAGAACAGAGAUCAGAUCAAGAUGGCUGAGUAGCAGGACCUGGAGCUCACCUUCCCAUACAGGUACACAAAAAAAAAUCCAGAUGUAGAAUCAUUCACACAGAACAUCUACUGAAUAUUGGCAGAAGACCUCAGACUUCCAAAAGAGCAAGAAAAUCUCCACAUAACUGAGUAGGACAAAAGAAAAAACAAGAGAGCAGAAUCAGGACAGGAUCAGAAGCCCUGGGAGGGAGCUAUGAAAGAAGGAAAGGUUUCUGUAUACUAGGAGGCCCCUUGAUUUGUGGGGAGAUUAGCUGGGGAAGAAGAGGAGCUCCAAAGCUUUGGAAAAAAGCACAGCUGCUGGUCUGAGGACAAAAGAGAGAUAAAGAGACAGUUAGUGCUGCUGCUUGGUUCGCCCCAGCCUGAGACACUUUUAUUCUGGAGCAGGCAGGAUCUGGGUGCUGACAUUCAGAGGACAGACACAGGGAGGGAGAAGACUUGAGUUGGCUGCAUGGAAACAGCUUUAGGGGGAGAGGGUGUGGUGCUUCACACCUAAGGGAAUGUGGGAAGAGGACUGGGCCCACCAGAGAAACAAGGUACCAUUGUGGGGGAGUUCAAGAGUAGAGGGUGGGACUGUCAUAGGAGCUUCCUUUUUCCACGUGGACAGGCUCUCAGGCUUUCAUGGGCUAUGGGGGUGGGUGCAAGCUGCAAUAGCCAUCUCAGACUCCAGAAGGAGGCACAGCCCAUCACCACAGAGGGUCCCCUAAAUGGGCAAGACCUACUGCCUCUGCCUCCCAGGGAGUACAUAUAGCCCAUUGCUGCUGCCACUGGUGCCAAAGGCCCCAUGUCCAGGUGCUGGCCAUUGGUACCACAAGGCCAGGGGUCACCACCAUUGCCGAGUGUGCCAUGGCUGUAUACCACCUGCCACCCCCAUAGGAGUUUCCACAGCCCACUGCCAUAGCCACUCCUGAAGGCCCUGCAACCAGAUACCACCCACCAUCUCCACCUCCCCAAGGGAUGCUGCCAAGGGCCCUGUGACUAAGCAUCACUCCAUUGCCCCCACCUCCCUGGGAAAAUGUGUGGGAGUGCACCUGCAUGCCCCCUAUCAAGGGGAUACUGGCCUGCACAUGCUGAGGAAAGAGCAAGCAUUCAAACCAAAAGAAACUUGGUUUUUGUCACACCAAAAAAAUUAGUAAAUCCACAUAAGCUAUCUAUUUAAAUAGUCCUCCAAGACAAUGGUAGGUAAUGGUUUCCCCUAAACUCAAAGAGGAAGAGAAAUAUAAGCAAAAUUAAAAGGCAGAGGAACUAUUCCCAGUUAAAAACAGGAGAAUUCAUCUGAAGGAGCAAACAAUAAAACAGACCUGUUCCAUGUAAAAGACACUGAGUUUAAAAAGAACGUAAUGAAAAUACUGAAGGAAUUAAGAAAGGCAACAGACAGAAAUGCAGAUUGCUGUAAAAAUAACUAGAAACUUAUUUAGAAGGAGCCAGGAAAAAUUUGAAAAUUCAUUUGCCUAGACAAAAGCUGAGAUAAAAGCAAUGAAUGGCAGAAUUAAUGAUGUAGAUGAAUGAAUAAGUGAUUCAAAAGAAAGAAUAAUGGAAAUCACCCAAUCAGGACAACAGAAAGAAAGCCAAACAAGCAACAACAGCAACAACAACAAAAAAAAGAGAAAGCAACUAGAUAUCUAUGGGAUAAUAUAAAACAUGCAAACCUACAUUUAACAAGGAUUCCAGUAAAAUAAAGAGAAGACAGAUUGAAAAUGUAUUUGAAAACAUUAUAGCUGAAGCUUUCCCAAAUCUAAAGAGAAGAAAACAGCCAGACACAGAAAGCACGGAGGGUCUCAAAUGAGAUGAACCCAAAUAGACCUACCCAUAUUAUAAUAAAAACAACAAAGGUGAAAGAUAAAUAGAGGAUUCUAAGGGUAGCAAGAGAAAAACAGAGUUAAUUUACAAGGGAACCCCCAUAAGGCUAUCAGCUGAUUUCUCUACAGAAACAGUACCAGCAAGAUAGGCGUGGCAAGAUAUACUGAAGUUCUAAAAGGGAAAAAUUCACAACCUAGAAUACUCUAACCAGAAAGAUUAUCAUUUAGCAUAGGAGGAGAAAUAAGGAAUUUCUCAGAUAAGUAAAAACUAAAAUAAUACACCAAUAAUAAACCUAUCCUAAAAGAAACCUAUUUGUGAAAGUCAUAAAAACAAGGAUUGGCAAAAUGAUAAAUAUGAAAAUGUAAAAAAGGUUAUCAAAAUCAUAAAAUGUGACAAAGGAGAGUAAGAAAACACAGACUUUUUUAAAGAAUGUUUGAGCCUAUAGGAUUAGCAGUCUAAGGCAAAGAGAUAUAGGAAGGUAUUAACAUACUCAGAAAAACAGACCAACCACAAAGCAAACACAUACAACAGAUUUAGAAAAACAAGAAGAGAAAACAAGCAUAAAAUAAAAUUGAAAAAUCAUCAAAUCAUGAAAAUAAGAAAGGAAAAAGAAACAGAAUCAAGUGGAAAACAGAUUUAAAAUGGCAAAAAAUGGGAGUUCCCGUCGUGGCGCAGUGGUUAACGAAUCCGACUAGGAACCAUGAGGUUGUGGGUUCGGUCCCUGGCCUUGCUCAGUGGGUUAACGAUCCGGUGUUGCCGUGAGCUGUGGUGUAGGUUGCAGAUGUGGCUCGGAUCCCGCGUUGCUGUGGCUCUGGCGUAGGCCGGUGGCUACAGCUCCGAUUCAACCCCUAGCCUGGGAACCUCCAUAUGCCGCGGGAGCGGCCCAAGAAAUAGCAACAAUAACAACAACAACAACAACAAGACAAAAGACAAAAAAAAAAAAAA